UCCCUGGUGGUCCAGUGGCUAGAACUCUGCAUUCUCAGUGCUGGGGGCCCAAGUUCAAUCCCUGGUCAGGAAA
rnacentral:tRNA from 1 species